rnacentral:rRNA from 1 species
UACAGAGGGUGCGAGCGUUAAUCAGAAUUACUGGGCGUAAAGCGUGCGUAGACGGUUAUGUAAGUCAGAUGUGAAAGCCCCGGGCUCAACCUGGGAAUUGCAUUUGAGACUGCAUAGCUAGGGUGCGGAAGAGGGAAGCGGAAUUUCCGGUGUAGCGGUGAAAUGCGUAGAUAUCGGAAGGAACACCAGUGGCGAAAGCGGCUUCCUGGUCCAGCACCGACGUUCAGGCACGAAAGCGUGGGGAGCAAACAGG